GGUAGGAUGGCUGAGAGUCUAAGCGGUGGAUUGUAGUCCCAUAGAUGGAGGUUUGAGUCCUCUUCCUAUCA
rnacentral:tRNA from 1 species